GACGAACGCUGGCGGCGUGCCUAAUACAUGCAAGUAGAACGCUGAAGAGAGGGGCUUACUCUUCUUGGAUGAGUUGCGAACGGGUGAGUAACGCGUAGGUAACCUGCCUUGUAGCGGGGGAUAACUAUUGGAAACGAUAGCUAAUACCGCAUAACAAUGGAUGACACAUGUCAUUUAUUUGAAAGGGGCAAUUGCUCCACUACAAGAUGUACCUGCGUUGUAUUAGCUAGUAGGUGAGGUAAUGGCUCACCUAGGCGACGAUACAUAGCCGACCUGAGAGGGGGAGCGGCCACACUGGGAAUGAGACACGGCCCAGAGUCCUACGGGAAGCAGCAGUAGGGAAUCUUCGGCAAUGGGGGCAACCCUGACCGAGCAACGCCGCGUGAGGGAAGAAGGAUUUCGGAUCGUAAAGCUCGGUUGUAAGUGAAGAACGGGUGGGAGAGUGGAAAGUUCACGCUGUGACGGUAGCUUACCAGAAAGGGACGGCUAACUACGUG
rnacentral:rRNA from 1 species